GGCGGAGUUAUGGGGCAGCCCUAUGGGGCUGUCAUAUGGGGCUGCUCUAUGGGGCAGCCCUAUAGGGCAGCGUUAUGGGGAGGAGCUAUGAGGCUGCUCUAUGGGGCAGAGCUAUGGGGCAGCCCUAUGGGGCGACCGUGUCCCUAUGGGGCGGACUUAUGGGGCAGCCCUAUAGGGCGACCCUAUGGAGCUGUUCUAUAGGGCGGCGCUAUGGGGCAGCCCUAUGGGACGGAGUUAUGGGGCAGCCCUAUAGGGCGGCGCUAUAGGGCGGCUCUAUAGGGCGUCGCUAUGGGGCGGCGCUAUGGGGCUGCCGUAUGGGGUAACCCUAUGGGGCGGCUCUAUAGGGCGGCGCUAUGGGGCGGCUCUGUCCCUAUGGGGCAACCCUAUGGGGCGGCGCUAUGGGGCGGACCUGUCCCUAUGGGGCGGAGUUAUGGGGCAGCCCUAUAGGGCUGUCAUAUGGGGCUGCUCUAUGGGGCGGCCCUAUAGGGCGGAGCUAUGGGGCGGCGCUAUGGGGCACCCCUAUGGGGCGGACCUGUCCCUAUGGGGCGGUUCUAUGGGGCAGAGCUAUGGGGCGGCUCUAUAGGGCAUCGCUAUGGGGCGGCCGUGUCCCUAUGGGGCAACCCUAUGGGGCAGCCCUAUGGGGCGGCCCUGUCCCUAUGGGGCGGUUCUAUGGGGCGGCUCUAUAGGGCGGCGCUAUGGGGCGGCCCUGUCCCUAUGGGGCAACCCUAUGGGGCGGCGCUAUGGGGCGGCUCUAUAGGGCGUCGCUAUGGGGCGGCCGUGUCCUUAUAGCGCCCCAUAAUGCGGGGGCGGUGGGGGAACCCGUUGGGUGAGUGUUGCCUCCGCCCCACACAUCCCGCCCCAUAGAAUCCUAUGGAGCCCAUGGCUGCCCCACACAUCGCCUUCAGCCUCCUCUUCCUCUGCCCCAUAGCAGCCGCUCUGCCCCACUGCGACGGGGACGGAUGGGAGAACGGAGCACGGACAGUGAAGGCGUCGGAGCUGACCAGGGCACAACCGGUGUGCGGCCGCCCCAUGGCUGUGGGGCUGACCCGUAACGUGGGGGGUGAGGACGCCAUGGCUGGUCAAUGGCCAUAGAACCCCAUAGAGCCCCAUAGAACCCCAUAGAGCNCCCAUAGAACCCCAUAGA